rnacentral:lncRNA from 1 species
AUGAGCAAAAAACCUUUUGCUGGAUACAGGAGAAGGUGGACUCGAUUUACAGUUAUCUUUUGACUACAGCAACAGCUCUGGGUGAGAGUAGACUAUAUAGAGGGAUGAUUUGUCAAGCCAUAAAAAGAAAAUCUAAAUUAAUUCUAGUGAAGUGUAUGACCUCUCACCAUUAUAAGAGGUACCAGAUUCAUUUGCACUAUUAGGAAUGCUAGUUUUGUGCAAAAAUAAUGCCUUACCUGUUUUCUCCCCACAUUUAGGUUGAAAAGCUUUCAAACGUUCCAAGUUAUGCUGAACCAAAAACAAAACAAAACAAAACAAAACAAAAAAAAAAAAAACCCACACAAGAACUAAACACCCCAAAACAAAAAGCCCACACUUUUAAUUCCUGCUUUGAAAUGCAAAUGGUACAGGGCUCAGUUUCUCUGGCACAGUGUAAUGAUAGCUCUGUGAGUGGGUGAGUUUCAGGUCCUGCUGGGAACUCUGUAUGCGCGAGGCCGCACGAGCGGCAACCAGCCAGCCGAACCUGCCCACCUGCACUCUGAGUACGGAACCAUUUGCUCUUCUUUUCUCCUUCUCCUCCUCCUUUUUUUCUUUCUUUCUUUUUUUUUUAAAGCUUUCUCUAUCUUUCCUUGUGCAUCCUGACCAAGAAAUAUCUUUGAUUAUGAUCAAUGUAUUAUGUCAAAAUGUAGGCUAGUUAAACUUUUGUAAAGUUGCCUGGAAUGUCAUUUGUUAGGUUAUAAACACAAAAUCUAAAUGAAGGGUUAUAUGUGUUGUGUACAAAUCUUAAUUAUUUUGAAAUGGACAAACUUGUCAUUACAUUUGUAACCUUGUACAGAGGAUUUUUCACUAUGUGCCUAGCUUGGUGUCCAUUCAGCUAAAGUUGAAAAAAAAAAGGUGCAUGAAGAGUUAAAAAUCAGAAUUAAACAAAGUAUAUGUAGAGAUGACUAUUUUAUAUUACAUGGCCCAAUCCUGUAUUUAUUUCUGCCCCCUUUUUGAAAGUAUUUAUAAAACUAGUUGAGGACAGCUGUAUUUUUUUGUUGAACUAUUUAGUAGAAUUUGUGCCUUUUUGUCUGUAUGUGAAUAAAUGCUGUACAUUUUGCAGUACAUUUU